rnacentral:rRNA from 1 species
ACUCAAAGGAAUAGACGGGGGCCCGCACAAGCGGUGGAGCAUGUGGUUCAAUUCGAUGCAACGCGAAGAACCUUACCUGGGUUUGAACUGUAGUGGAAAAUUCCAGAGAUGGAAUCCUCUAGCAAUAGACCGCUGCAGAGGUGCUGCAUGGCUGUCGUCAGCUCGUGUCGUGAGAUGUUGGGUUAAGUCCCGCAACGAGCGCAACCCUUGCUGUUAGUUGCUCAUUCGCAAGAAUAGCACUCUAACUAGGACUGCUGGUGAUAAACCGGAGGAAGGUGGGGAUGACGUCAAGUCAUCAUGGCCUUUAUGCCCAGGGCUACACACGUGCUACAAUGGCCGGUACAGAGGGUCGCUAAGCCGCAAGGUGGAGCCAAUCCCACAAAACCGGCCUCAGUUCGGAUUGCACUCUGCAACUCGAGUGCAUGAAGGUGGAAUCGCUAGUAAUCGCGGAUCAGCACGCCGCGGUGAAUACGUUUCCGGGCCUUGUACACACCGCCCGU